rnacentral:pre_miRNA from 1 species
UGUGUACUCCCUCCGUUCCAAAAUACUUGACUUCCAUUUGUCCAAAAAUGGAUGUACCUAUAUACUAAAACAUGUCUAGAUACAUAUAUAUUUUGACAAAUAGAAGGCAUGUAUUGUGCAAUGGAGGGAGUAAAAU